rnacentral:tRNA from 1 species
UUUACAGGAAUGGCUCCCACGCCAUUAGUGAUUUCCGCAUGAUAAAAAAAUCAUUUUCUGUAAAA